UACGGAGGAUGCGAGCGUUAUCCGGAUUUACUGGGUGUAAAGGGAGCGUAGACGGUGAUGCAAGUCAGAAGUGAAGGCCCGCAGCUCAACUGCGGGACUGCUUUUGAAACUGCCAGGCUAGAGUGUCGGAGAGGUAAGUGGAAUUCCUAGUGUAGCGGUGAAAUGCGUAGAUAUUAGGAGGAACAUCAGUGGCGAAGGCGACUUUCUGGACUGUAACUGACGCUGAGGCACGAAAGUGUGGGGAGCAAACAGG
rnacentral:rRNA from 1 species